CUGGGCAGCCUGGGUUCAGGCUGGUGUCUGCCACAGGCUGGGGCUGAAGUAUCUUUGGGAUGUGGGGCUGUGAGCCAGAAUUCACUUUUUUUUCCCCCUAUUUUGUUUAACAGGUUCUCAUCUGGAAGCAUCAUCACAUCUGGCUGAUGAUCUCAACCUGAUUUUCCACACCGUGUCACCUGUAGGAAGGUGACAGUGGAGAAACUACGUUUAUGUGACAAAUUAAGUGCAAGAAACAAUCCACGUGGCCAGUUUGUUCAACUGAUCUGAAGAGCUUUCUCUGCAAGGCUCUCCUGCUGCCAUGGUUGAGGUCACAGUGUCCAGCUCCAUGCACCGCACUGCAGCCCAUGUCCUCCUGCUGCCACGGAGCACCAUAAUGCUAAUAAACUCUGACAGCCUGUGACUCCGCAAUGAAGGAGGUUUCUCAAACCAAUCUCUUUACUUGAAAUCUGAUUUACAAAGCCUCAGUCCCUCAGCUGGAUGGCAGCGGUUGCAUCAGAGUGCUUGUCAUGGCUCGACAUCGGAGCACACGUUGAGCAUCUUUGGGGAGGGAUAGCUUUUACUUGUGUGCUUGUGUUCUUCUAGGGGAGCUAGAGGAUUUGCUGAGAUGAACUCAUUUUCUUAACCAUACGGUGUCCUCCUGUGUCAAUAAACCCC
ensembl:lncRNA